GACGGGGUAUUGUAACCGUCGGUUCCAUUAUUAACUUGUGGCUCCUCCACAAUUCCAAAAUACUCCAAUCACCCAAAACAAUAUACGCCUCAAUCAAAACAAAUAUCCCAUCCGAAUGAGAUAGUUGGCACUCACGCAGUGACUUGGUGUGUGAGCUGAGCCUGUCUCACUCUCACGGCGAUCUGUCAUGCUAGAGUGACAGCUCAUAUUCGUGCGGUGUGAACCGGCCUUUAUCAGCCAAUGAUGGUUCCAGCCCACAGGUGGAGCGUUAAUAGCGCAAAUACAGGCUGCGGAAAUGCGAAAAGCAUAAAUUUAUUUACCUUAGAUUCUGGGUUUCCUAUAAAUAGGAAAUAAAUCCCAGAAUCGUUCUCUUUUGGCUGGUGAAUCUAGAACGGUCUAGAAGUGCGCGCGUGUGUAGCUUUUUAUUAAAUAGAGGUGUUAGUCCGUUAGUAAAAACGGCUAAUUGUAGUACGUCGAAUUAAAAUUGUGUUAGUAGAAGUUAUGAUUGUAAAAAUCCGAUUGUUAAAAGUUAAUUGUUCAAACACAAACAUCGACAAACAAGAAGAAACUAUAAGAAAA